GACAGAGCAAGGACAUGUGACAUGUGACUUCAGCUAUAAAAUAACACAGCAGCUCCCAUCACCUGCUCCUCGGAGAGCACAUGUAGGUCUACAGGAGCAAGGAUGUCAUUUUGCCGAAGAGGAGGAACCUGGGAUCAAGUUCUGUGACUUCAAAGAAGAGUCAUGUGUACAAAACUUUGGGAGACGAUCACCACAGACAGGAUUUGGAGACAGGAGCCUAUUUGAUCUUUUUCUUCUCCUU